CCUGAUGAUCACCGGCUGAACUUCCUGGUCACAGGAUGCUGUUGAAUCCCUUCGUAAUUGGGAUACCGGGCUGGGGCGCUGCUGCUGCUCCCCAGCGGAAUCUGUGAGGGGAGAGAUCUGCAGUUCCCCCGCCUUCUAUGCCCAGCCCGGGGGGACUUUCUGCGGCAGCUGGACCCAGCCCCUGGGGCAGCCCCGGACUCUGCCGACACCAGCCCCUGAGCCGGAGCCUGCAGGAAAGAGGUGGAGCAUCCCUGAGAUACUGUGGACGUUGCAGUGGUGUUUUCUGACUUUCUGAAGACACGUCUCAAAAGGAGGUACAGACAUUCCAGACUCCAACUGGCAGAAGCGGCUUAUGACUUGCUGUUGCCACAGAUUCUCCAUAUAUAGACCUGUGCUUCUGAAGCAGGGCCAUAAGUACAGACUGGUGGGACCACGUUGUCUUGCGGACCUGGGAAGACCAGGAGGGGCUCCAGAACUUUCUCAUGGAGAAGCAGAGAUUCCUGGAGCCGUGUGAUCAGCUUGCCACAACCCUCUUGGGUCAGAACACACACAUGAGGGAGGUCGUGCUGGUCCAGAAGCAGGUGGCUAUAGCCAUCGGGAUGGAAGUGGACUACUCCUGACUGCUAGAGGUCCAUGGCUAACCAGUUUGGUGUGGGAUUUCUGAUUCACCCUUUGUGAUCUCCUGGAUGGAAUGAGGCGAUGAGCUGUGAGUCCCAGAUCUUCAAGGAUUUGAGGGACUGGAGAUCCCAGGAGGCACGUGCGCCAGUGGGGAACUCAUUCAAGCAACUUAGAAGCCCUCAGGUGCGUGAAUUAAAAAGCUAGGAUUCCUGCCUGGAGUUCCCCCAGUUCUGCCUGAUAUCACCCCAGGUCUCCAGCAGAUAUUGUAUCCUCCUGGCAGAUGCUGUUCAUGGCUUCCUACUCACCCUUGUCAAUAAGUUCCCUCCCUUCCCACUUCCUUUCUCUGGGGGUUCAGACAGGCUGAAUUGGCAGGAUUGGCUCCUCUUCUCUCUCCUCUGGGUGAAUUGGAGGGUUUGGGGGGGAUUUGACUCUUGUUUUUCAUC